UGCUUACAACAUAGUGUUAAUGCACCAGAUCCCAAUAAAACUAUGCAAUUAAGUGGGCUCGGGCUAGAGUAGUAUUGGGAAGGGUAACCGCCCGGGAAGUCCUAGUGUUUUAUGUGU
rnacentral:rRNA from 1 species